CAAUAGAAAAGCUUGCUUUUCUUGAGGUUAGCGGCGGACGGGUGAGUAACACGUGGGCAACCUACCUGUAAGACUGGGAUAACUUACGGAAACGUGAGCUAAUACCGGAUAGUUUCACUUCUCGCAUGAGAAGUGAAGGAAAGAUGGCUUUUAGCUAUCACUUACAGAUGGGCCCGCGGCGCAUUAGCUAGUUGGUGGGGUAAAGGCCUACCAAGGCAACGAUGCGUAGCCGACCUGAGAGGGUGAUCGGCCACACUGGGACUGAGACACGGCCCAGACUCCUACGGGAGGCAGCAGUAGGGAAUCUUCCGCAAUGGACGAAAGUCUGACGGAGCAACGCCGCGUGAGCGAAGAAGGUCUUCGGAUCGUAAAGCUCUGUUGUUAGGGAAGAACAAGUACCGGAGUAACUGUCGGUACCUUGACGGUACCUAACCAGAAAGCCACGGCUAACUACGUGCCAGCAGCCGCGGUAAUACGUAGGUGGCAAGCGUUGUCCGGAAUCAUUGGGCGUAAAGCGCGCGCAGGCGGUCCUUUAAGUCUGAUGUGAAAUCUUGCGGCUCAACCGUAAGCGGUCAUUGGAAACUGGGGGACUUGAGUGCAGGAGAGGAAAGCGGAAUUCCAUGUGUAGCGGUGAAAUGCGUAGAGAUAUGGAGGAACACCAGUGGCGAAGGCGGCUUUCUGGCCUGUAACUGACGCUGAGGCGCGAAAGCGUGGGGAGCAAAC
rnacentral:rRNA from 3 species